GGCCCCAGUGGAUAGGGGAAUCGUGUGGUGCAGUCUGUGUGUGUCCUGUCCGUCUUCCCGGGAGCUUCCUGCCCCACGGCUUGGGCCUCGUCCCAGCUGUGAGGUGCUCUUUGCUGGCUUCCUUUGAAGCCUGGCUUGGGAAGUCAAAGGAGGGAGGGAGCCUGUGCCCUUUUCCGUGCUGAGGUGGGAGGAGAGGAAGCUCCUGAGGAGGACAGAGGGGAGCUGCCUUAACCAUUCCGGCAUGUUUUCCCGAAAGCACGGUUCUCCUGUUGGAACCGACGGAGGGCAGGUCACUUCAAGCCCCCUACAGAGGAAGACCAGACCCAAGACUCCCAGUGGUUGUCCUGGCUGCUGUCAUUUUCCAGUUGUACUACUUGACAGGGAACAAGUGAAAAUCUCAGUACAGCAGCAGGUGUCAUUUACCUCAGCUACCCAUCUCCCCUGCUCCCCCAGGCAGCUAAAAACUUGCCAGCCAUUUCAAGGAAGCAUUUGAUACCAACACACCUCUCUGCUGUGCCCUGGCUCUUUGGAUCAGUCCAGCGAGAAUGGCAAGAACCAGGCAGAGAAGGGCCCCCAGGAUGAUGCAGAGGAUGACGGGCACUGAAACUCUCUUGUUGUUUGUCACUGAGCGGCGGGGUGAAGCUAAAUGGAAACAAAGAGGUAACACGAAGAGAAGGACCCAGUAGCCCAAAGGCUGCUCCUCUGAAGCCUCCUCGUGUGCUCAUGGUAGCAGAGUGAGGUAGGUCGCCUGCUGCAUAAUUUCUGCUCAAGGAAAAAGAAUUCAGCAGCUAGAAAUAGUGCCACUCAGCUCUCCUUUACAAAAGGCUGUGGGAGAUGCCUUCUGAUGAGCUGGAAUAUCACAGAAUUACAGAACUGCAGGGGUUGGAAGGGACCUCAAGAGAUCACUGAGUCCAACCCCCCUGCUAAAGCAGGUUGAUAUACCUCUGAUUUACCUGUUAUGCAGUAUCAGUGGCAAUAAAAGUUCCUAAUUUGAUGAGAGGAAGAAAGGGUGAAGAAGGAAUGUUUUACCUGCUCUGGUGGAAGAUGUUGUUGUUUCUGUCACACCUACAAAAUGAACGUGAGUCCAGAUUAAGGAAGAGGUAACUGAAAAGUAGUAAGAAUAUAUUCAUAUCAUUUGUGAGGUUCCUUCAGUCCGAAUUAUGAAAAGGCUAAUCACUGGGAUGGACAGAUGGCAUAAUAUUCCUCUAUCCACCUUCCUCCCCAGUUUGUGUGAUGAACCAAAGGACCAUUUUACUAACCUGAGCAAUCCACGGCAGCAUCCUCCUUGUGAUUACAGUUUUUACCAAACAAGGGCUUGGAAGGACAGUCCCAAAGUGACAGUUCUGUUCCUUUACAGUGGACCUUCUCCAACCAGAUGGGACCUGUCCCUUCCCCAAAGGCAGCUUCACUCAGAGCAGACACAGCAGAACCACAGCCCAGUUGCCUGCAUACAACAUUAGCAUCUGCCAGAUCCCAGGAAUCAUCACAGAUUGUUCCCCAGGAACCCUGAUUCCAAAUCUCCACUCUUCCUGAGCACGCAUCCUCUCCUCCUACAACACGUAACUUCUCCCUGUCUGCAGAAUAAUAAUAAAAAAAAAUCUGUAUUGCCUGAAUAGCUGUAAGGUCCAUAGUGACUAAUAAGGAAAAACAAAGGGGUGGAAGUACCUGAGCAACUUGAAGAGUUUGGACACUCAGUAAAUGUAGUUGGAGUCACCGCUCCUUUUCUUCCUGCAGAAAUUAAAUACUGAGUUAAAUAACUAGAUUAUUCUCUGGAAAGAGCGAAGGAGUAUAAACUACCUGAGCAAUAAUCAGCAAGUGCAUUUUUCCUAUAAUAAAUUUGUAACCUAUUUAGUAGAUGUAGUAGUUGGUGUUUAGUAGUGUUUGGCUAUUAUUGUAUAUUAAAAAAUCUUCUUGAAA